rnacentral:miRNA from 1 species
AGCAAGCAUUCCGCCAGGCCGCUCA